rnacentral:lncRNA from 1 species
CUCCUCGCCAAGUGCCCGCCCUCAUGUUGCUUCUCUCGCCCCCAGAAAUCCUACGAGCACUUGGCCAAAAUACGAGUAGCGAGAGAAGCGGCUCCAGAGUGCAGCUGCCCACCAGGUCCUCCAGGGAAAAGAGGUAAGCGGGGAAGAAGAGGAGAGACUGUGCUGUCUUGGUACCUACUUCAGAGAAAGAGGCUGUGAUACAGAGAGAAAUUCUGUGGUUCAAGAUUGAAUUACAAAUGAUCCUGGAAAUUACUUUGUGGG